UACGUAGGGUGCGAGCGUUGUCCGGAAUUAUUGGGCGUAAAGGGCUCGUAGGCGGUUUGUCGCGUCGGGAGUGAAAACCUCGGGCUUAACUCGGGGCUUGCUUUCGAUACGGGCAGACUAGAGGUAUGCAGGGGAGAACGGAAUUCCUGGUGUAGCGGUGAAAUGCGCAGAUAUCAGGAGGAACACCGGUGGCGAAGGCGGUUCUCUGGGCAUUACCUGACGCUGAGGAGCGAAAGUGUGGGGAGCGAACAGG
rnacentral:rRNA from 1 species